GGCAGCCUUGCAGGCUGCGAGGAAAUGGCAUGCUGUGCUUAGCUCAUGGAGGCCAGAAAAGACCCACCAUCUCCUUUGUAAUGAAGGGGCUAAGGCUGAGGGUAGCAGAAUUCGCUUGAGCCCUUACGGCCAUCAGCAACACAAAGAGGCCGUGCAGGAAGCACUGCGGGAAAAUGUGGCCGAAACAGCAGCAGCGUGGUGCAGCAGUGGCUGUGGCCUUUUACGUUCGCAGAGGAAGGCACAUACGGAGAUCAUGACUGGAACGCUUUCCCGUGGCCGCCAGCGAGGGUUGCUGACUGCAGCGCCGGUGAGGCCUCACGCUUUCCAAACUUGUUGUCAUGUGACCUUGUUAGCAGGGACUGCAGGUUUUACUGUUCGACAGCAAGGCCUUGGGCUGGAGAGACAGCUCAGCAGGGAAGAGCACUGGCUGCUCCUGUAGAGGAGCUGAGUUCGGUUCCGGCGCCCACGUGGGGCAGCUCACAACAGCCAGUAAUUCCAGCUCCAGUGUCCUUUUCCAGGGAUGGAAACAAUGGUUCCUGGCGGCGAACGGCAUUUUCGAACAGAUGGAGUAAUCACAGCCAAAGCAUGAGCACGUGUCCAAGGCACAGUACGGAGGGGGAAGCGAGGACUCGGAGCUGGGGCAUUAAGGUUCUCAGGGCGCCAGUCUCUGCUACAACACGCAGCUUUUGAGUCCUGCAUCAGAAAAAAGCAGAGAAACUAAUUGAGGACCAUGCCAAAGACAAUGCAGCAACGUUGGAGCCAUUUACCCUUGGCUUAAAACUAACGCAAAGCGCAGCCAGCCCUACUGGCCUGAGAGCGUGCGACGUUUUCCUUAAAAGUAAAAGCAAGUGAGUGAGCACGCAACUGUCCUAUGCUGUGUUUUAAAAUGAUGUGAAACAAAGUAAAAUCUACCCCAACUCCCCGCCCCCUCAAACUGUGCAUAAAAAGUCUCAGGAGAGCAAAGGAAAUCACCAAAUGCUCAGCAGGCAAAGGGCGGUGGCACGCUCUUUACUUCUUUUCUUCUUCCCUGCCAUGUCUAUGAGAAGCCCGAGCUGCUUUUCAACUAAUUUAACCUUCAACGAAAGUGCUCAGUGUGCAAAAGUAGUGAAAGGGGCCCCGAGCUUUGCUGUGACCGCUUGGAUUUUACCAUGAGGGUGGAGUAGGCAGUAUCAGGUGAUUGCGUGUGUAAAACAACAAACAAACAAAAGCACGUUUAUGCUGGGCUGGGGAGUCACACCCCUGCAGGACAAGUGUACCAGCACGGGAGCUAAACUCUGGAGCUUGCUCACUAUUUGGAAGAAGCUCUGAGGCGGCAGCUUGGCCAGGACCAGCUUCUGCAGCGAGUGUGAGGCCCCGCCUGACGCUGCGCCAGCAGCAACAAGCGUGUGGCCGCCUGCACUGAGUGUGAGCGAACACGGCAGCUGAUGUCUGCAGAGAACACACGCAGGAGCUCAGGGCAGGGUGCUGUGCUCACCGGCCUUCACAUCCCGACCUCAUCCCCAGGCCACCGGCCUGUGUGUGAGCGUGAGCCUCACGCUGCACCGGAAGCUGCUGUUCCUUCCAGCAUCGCUUUGAUGAAGGUGAAGAUGGCGUGACGUCGUCAGCCCUGGCUGUGGCAGGCUUCACACAGCUGUGUGUCACAGGGACAGUUCUGACACCAAUGGGGAGAACCACAGGAGCAGCCACACUUGAUCUGUACACGCUGAGGACAGGUCACAUGAGCCACGAGGACAAGGGUGGCGUGUGUAGUGGGACUAGCGUCCGAGCGGCCUCGUGUGUCUGCAGACCUCGGUUCAGUCUUGACUCUUAAAGCCAGCCCAGGUUGGCAUGGUGUGCUUCCGUGUGUGCACAUAUACACGCACACACACGUGCUCCUCAGCACGCUACAGGCCAGCUUCCUCACGGGAGUGUGGAGACCUAAGUCAGGGCAGGCACGUCAGCUUGGCCGAGGCGACCUUUGCUGCGAGAGCUCAUCUUUGUACAAACAUCACUAGUGUAUUUUGUUCUUCGUCUUCUAAUUCUGUGUAAUCAGGAGCAUGCAGCUCUGGAGGAUGCCACACCUGCCGCUCUGAGGUCACACAUCUGUCCUCAUAGUCACUCUGUCGUUCUUCGAAAGUAUCUUUUUCCCUCUAAAGUCGUAACCAUCAUUUAUUUCUGGGCAUUUUAUAAGGUCCCCUGUUUUCUGUUUCAUUUUCUGUCUGGUGUUUAUUGAAAUGCCCAUUAUUCUUCUUGUGUGUUGGUGCAAGUCCAGUAAUCUUAUGGAACGUUACUGGUUCUCGUAAGAAACACACUUAAAUUGUUCAUGGCUGAAACUUACGCUGUUUACGAAUAAGGACUCUUUCAUGGCUUCUCUGUCCACUCGCCGUGACUAACCCCUUCCUUUCCAUCCUGCUGUGCGUGAGCUCUUGAGCAGUCGACUACCGCAGCGUUCUCGGAGAGCAGUGUCUGGUUGCUGGAGGAUGUCUUCCCCGCGCAUCUUUAAGCGUGACAUGUUUAGUGCUUCCACAAAUGCCCUUUAUUCGGUAGUUGGCUCUGUUCCAACAGGCUGUGAUGAAUAUUGGUGUUGUGAUUAUUUUUUGUCAACUUAAUUGAGCCACAGUGUCCAAACAUUUCUGGUCACGGGGUGUGUCUCUUUCUAGAAGGAUCUGAGAUUUUUCUCGGUGGGUGGGCACCAGUCCCUGGAGGUGUAACUGGAGCCAAAGGGCUGAUUGUGUCACCGGAAGGGACGGCGCCCUGCUUGUCUGCAGGCUGGACUACUUUCCUGCUUAGGGCUCCGCUAACCCAGGCUAGUUCCCACCCUGUGGCCUCCAAACAGAGCAGGCUGCCUGGUGCCCCUCGAACUGUGGGUCUGGGCAAGACGGACGUCCACCAUCUCCUUCCCUCCCCAACCUCUGUUCUGAAGGAGUCCAGGUGCUCACAACAUUGUCCCUGGGCUUCAGCCAAGGGCUCUGCCCCUCAGUGUGCCCGCCGCUGGUUCAGCUGUGGGUCACGCCGUCACAUCGGCCGUGCCCUCGAUGUAGCCAGGUGUGUGAUCUCCAGAACUCACAUGAGGCCAUCAGGAAGCACGCCCAGCUCUGUCAGUGAUUCACGUGGCGCUGGUGACCUGUCCUGCACACAGCCUCUCCAUCAGCUGAGUUACUCUUCUGCCCUUGAACUUUCCUGGAAAAACCUGGCCGCAGCCUCCUUCCUGCCUUGGGGCCUCUUCUGGCUAACAGCUUCCGGCUGUUCGCCUUUCUGGAAGCUGCUGCUGUCUCCUCAUGUCCACACUCAGGGUCCUCUGCUGUCCUUGAGCGCGUUUGUUCCCUGUGGUCACUCUCCGGUUCACCAUCCUGAACACACACGACAGAAAUUCUCCUUAGUAUCACCAGCAUCUGAGCAGAGACGUCUGCUCCUCCUGGCCUCAUCCUCGGCAGCUUGUUCUGUGUUGAGAAGGUCCUCAUGCAGCUCAGGCUGGCCUGGAACUAACUCCGCACACCCGAGGACAACCUUGAAAGCCCGAGCCAGGUGGCGGCCCGGCCUGCGCCAUGAUGCCCAGCUUGUGCCCGCUUCUCACACGCUGGGCAAGCACUCUCCCCGUGAACCCCGUCCCCAGUCCUUGGGGACACGGGUCCGCACACAGACAGUACACUCUCUGCUUUUCUCGCCACCCUGGUUCACCUGUAAGCCUGCUGCUGUGGACGCUCUGCAUGCCCUUUGGGACACAACUCCUUGACCGCACUGUCCUUCUGUCCUUCUGAAUGCGGAGUGAACGCAACCUGUCAACGUUUUAGUCCGAGCUUUGAUUUUUAUGUCCAUGUAGGAACUGUUCUCUUCCGUUUUAUAUUCUUGUGUGCUUUGGGUAUCAGCAGCAGCGGGCCAGCUUUUCACCUUUUUAAAAGCUUGCACACUUUACAUAACACAAAAGACAUUUUUGUCCUGAGGAAAGUGUUGAAAUAUGUAGCAAUAGUGCAUUUUUCGUUUCUUUAAUAGCAGCUGGUUUAUCGAUUCCCACUUUAAAAUAAUUUCGAUCCAUUUUAUUUGGGGGACAUUAGCAGUACAUUUUUAAUGACACUACAUUUUCACUUUUAAUGUCUACAUUGUGUGCCCAUGUCUUCUCUUGUUGCUAAUUACUUAUACUUUCAUGUAAAUUUUUCAUGAAGCCCAACGUUUGUGGCCUCUGGUCCAGUAUUCUUGAUUUUCAGAUUAUUAAUUUAAAUUGUAUUCUUGU